CCUACGGGGCGCAGCAGUGGGGAAUAUUGGACAAUGGGCGAAAGCCUGAUCCAGCCAUGCCGCGUGUGUGAAGAAGGCCUUCGGGUUGUAAAGCACUUUCAGUGGGGAAGAAAGCCUUGGGGCUAAUACCCUCGAGGAAGGACAUCACCCACAGAAGAAGCACCGGCUAACUCCGUGCCAGCAGCCGCGGUAAUACGGAGGGUGCGAGCGUUAAUCGGAAUUACUGGGCGUAAAGCGCGCGUAGGCGGCCUGAUAAGCCGGAUGUGAAAGCCCCGGGCUCAACCUGGGAACGGCAUCCGGAACUGUCAGGCUAGAGUGCAGGAGAGGAAGGUAGAAUUCCCGGUGUAGCAGUGAAAUGCGUAGAGAUCGGGAGGAAUACCAGUGGCGAAGGCGGCCUUCUGGACUGACACUGACGCUGAGGUGCGAAAGCGUGGGUAGCAAACAGGAUUAGAUACCCUUGUAGUC
rnacentral:rRNA from 1 species